GAGGGAAACCGAGUCUUAAUUGGGCGUUAAGUUGCAGGGUAUAGACCCGAAACCCGGUGAUCUAGCCAUGGGCAGGUUGAAGGUUGGGUAACACUAACUGGAGGACCGAACCGACUAAUGUUGAAAAAUUAGCGGAUGACCUGUGGCUGGGGGUGAAAGGCCAAUCAAACCGGGAGAUAGCUGGUUCUCCCCGAAAGCUAUUUAGGUAGCGCCUCGUGAAUUCAUCUCCGGGGGUAGAGCACUGUUUCGGCUAGGGGGCCAUCCCGGCUUACCAACCCGAUGCAAACUGCGAAUACCGGAGAAUGUUAUCACGGGAGACACACGGCGGGUGCUAACGUCCGUCGUGAAGAGGGAAACAACCCAGACCGCCAGCUAAGGUCCCAAAGUCAUGGUUAAGUGGGAAACGAUGUGGGAAGGCCCAGACAGCCAGGAUGUUGGCUUAGAAGCAGCCAUCAUUUAAAGAAAGCGUAAUAGCUCACUGGUCGAGUCGGCCUGCGCGGAAGAUGUAACGGGGCUAAACCAUGCACCGAAGCUGCGGCAGCGACACUCAGGUGUUGUUGGGUAGGGGAGCGUUCUGUAAGCCUG
rnacentral:rRNA from 1 species